UCACGACUUGGGAUACAAUGUUCCUGGGUUGCAGUUGAUAUAUUUCAGAGAUUACCAAAGAUUUCAAACAGAAAAAAAGAUCUAUUUUAUUAAACUCAUAUGUAAAAUGUCUGUAUGUCAGCCAACUUAUUUAUUUUCAAAUUUGGGAUUUUUGUAAAUGUCAUCGUUAGACAAUGUCAAGAGAGUUCCCGAUAAACCCAUUAAUGAAUGGUAUGACUGAAGCGGCCCCUGGACAUUUCAUUUCUCUUGACAACCAGGUUCCUGCUUGAUGAUGGUGGCUUUUAUUUCAACUGCUUCUGUUGGGUGAAAGUGAGGAAAAUAUGGCAAACCUCAAAGCAUGGACCAGGGGGAAGUCAGGCUCAACCAGACUGUUCACGGGCAUAUGGUCUGAGAUGAUCCAUCAUGGUCUAUGAUGUCAGAUUAUCCACUGAGACUUGGGACUCUGCAGAAAUAUAGUUCUGUUCAGAUAAUGGUAUUUCCAGUUGUUGUGAUGGACAAGACCGACGCUGUGGAAAACAGACUGGUAGGAUACCAGAUGACAGACGCACAAGGCAGGCAGAAGAACAAGGCAUUGUGAACUGAGCCGUAGGUGAGUUUUGCAGUGCCUUCCUCCACUGCAUUUCUCAGCAGUCAGCAUUGGUUACCAUCCCAAACCCCAUAGUCAACCAGUCCACAGACACACAGCCUUUGGUGUGGUAAGUUCCUGGCCACUGUCGUGAUGAUUACCCAAGCUUCCACAGGCUCUUCCCGCUGUGCAUCCCCCUCCUGCUACUCUUGUCUCGCUUCAUAAACCUGAAAGGCCAUGUAAAGGGCUGCUUUCAGCCCCUUCCUCCCUGUGGUUAACAGCUCCAAUCAUUUACUCUUCCUCUGCAUCGUUUGUUUUGUUUUUCCUGUCUUUAACUCAUUCUCUUUAUAUUUUUUCUGGAAUAUUCUCCUAAAUCCCCUAUAUUCUGCCCUGAAUAUUUUGCCUUCCAAUACUGAAGCAAGAAAAAAUGAGAGACCUGGAAGGACUUGUGGGCAGGGGAAAGAAUAAGAUCAAAAUAGACUGCAGGAAAACAAUAAAAAUAAUUCUAAAAUGUAAUUUAAAAAGAACAAUCAGAACCUACCCCUAUGGAACUCCAUUAUUUUACCUACAUGUAUAAUGUAUAUCACAUGUGAACACUGUAUACAUCCACUGACUUUAGCAGGGUACUGUGUAGACAAAGAAGCAAAAUGACACCAUGGAAAUAUGGUCUUUGAGACCAAGAUGACUUAGAUUUAAAUGGCUGAUUUGCUGUUUACCGAGUGUUUGAGCCUUGGAAGUAUUAUGACUUAACCUCUAGGUUCCUAUGGUUCCUUUGUUUAUCCUACGAGUGAGCUGUAAAACUUAUCAUCAUAUUGGCAUACAGGCAACCAAUGUUUGGAGCCCAUCAUGUCUGUCAUUUCUAUGAUUAAUCAACUCCUUCACAUGCCUGUUUUUUAAGCUGCAGAUCUUUUUGUGGAUACAUAAUCCAUAUUGUAUUAAUACAGAAUCUCAAUCAUAUUAAAAUUUGUUUAAAUGAAUGAGUUUUGAAGGCACUUUUCAGGGUCCAUAGACAUAGUAAACAGACAGAAUCAAUGUCAAUUAAAAAUCCAGAAGUGUCUCACCUUGCUUGGCCCCUGUUUCUCAGAGACCACCCCCACUGAUCACUUUUCCAUUCCAAUUCCAAGUUUUCCUUUUCUGUCUUGGGUGAAAAGUUGAGUGAUAGAAGUUGGGAUGUAGGUCUGAAAACCUCAGGAAAUGGUUAAGUUUACUUUCCUUCUUAAAUGUAUAUUUUAACAUUUUAACAGAGGACAUUGUUAAAAAACCAAGCUGCUCUUCUGACUCCUAAGAAUGGUGAUUUCUUGGCAGAUCUAUAUGUUGUUUUCCACCCUAGACUAGCAACUCAAUCUCCAAGGAAGAACACAAGGAAUCAGGUUUUAACAGGGACAUCAUCACUGGGCCAGCUGGAAAGCCUGAUCUAAAUCAAUCACAAGAUAAUAUAUCUGAACACCAUCCUGCCUAUGUGAAGUUUGUAUGCAACAAACAGGAUUAAUUUAACUCCUCAGGGAGUUUAGAUUCCCUUCGCAAAUUAUAUGCAACACAUAUAUGUAUGUGUACUAUGUGUAGUGUGUAUAUUUAUGUGGUAGUACCCAUGUACAUACUCAGCUGUACUUUUCAGGGUUUCAGUUAUCCAUGGUCAACCAUAGACAGAAUGCAUUCAAUGGAAAGUUUUAAGAUAAACACCUCAUGCGUCUUCAGUAACUUUCAUGGGACUGUAUAUUUAUGACUAUUCUUUCUUGCCAUCAUCUAUUACUGUUAAUCUCUUACUGUGCAUAAUUUAUAAAGUUCACAAUUGGAGUGUAUAUAUAAAGCAAACAUCACAUCUAGAGGACGUGGGUAUCAUUUGUGCUUUCAAGUGUCCACUUAGAAAAUGCCUAUGAAGACACAUAAGUAAGAAGAGAUCACUGUGUAUGCGCAUAGGAUUAGACAUAUAUACACACACAUACUCAUACAUACACAUUAAAAAUGAUAAACUAUCAUACAGCUUCACUGCUGAAAGAAAUAGGGCAAUAGGAGCAAAAUACACAAGAAAAAAAAAGAUCCCCCAAAAGUUAGGAUCUUUUUCUUGGAGGAAAACAGCUGUUUCUUAGAGAAGUUUAUACAGGCAUUUUCAGUACUACUUAUGGAUAUAUUCAAAUAGCCACAUGAGUCAAAUAAAUUGUAUAGCAAACCUCCCCCCCUAUACCUGUCACUGAUUUUGAAUAUGACUUGCCCACCACCCACCCUUCCCGGUGCUCCUCCUGGAAACCUUUUAAAGCAGGCCACAGAAGCCCUGUACUGGCCACAUGUUUAUUACACUUCUAGGGCAGGAUCACAGGAAUGUUUACUUCAUUUCUACACCUGCCCUGUAGAAGGAGUGCAGACCACAAACCACGGUUCAAGUAGCACUGUGUCAAAGCUCAUGCCAAAGGGCUAGGGUGUAGCUCAGUAGUAGAGCUAGUAUUGCCUAGCAUGUGUGGGAACCCGCAUUUGAUCCCCAGUCCUGGAAAAUUAAAGAAGUAAAUAAAUGAAUAGGCUCAGCAGGGGCUGUGGUGAAGAGGAUUCCAAGCAAGAAACAAGUGACAAGAAAAUGAAAAAGCUCCCCUGGGAAGAACUAACUUCACUACAGGAAUCUGAACUAUGCCAGGUAUGCUGUGUGUUCACUUCUUUUUUAAUGGCUGUUAUCAUUGUGGCAAGAUGACACCCUCACUUUCCAAUGUAUAGAUGAGGAGACAGAGGUUCUAAGAAGAGAGCAACCUACACAGAGUCUUCUAACUAAAACUGUCAGCCUCUCUCUUGGUAACCCUCCAGAAAUUUAUGGUAGGACUAUGUUUCUUAAUUCUAUAUAUUGAAUCAUAGAACAGGGAGAAGUCAAGUUGGUAUCUGAAAACUUCCCCUUAAUGACUAGUUUUCAUACUGUUGGAAGGUGCCAUGCACACUGCUGGAGGAGAAAAUUAGAUUGAUUUUAUCUGGGUAUGAACCUAGAGAACUAUGAUACUGACCAGCCUGGCAAAAGGAUGCCUGCUAGCACAAUAGUGGCACAAAAAAACAUGGAAGUAAACAACCAUUUUCUGGUUGGAUUUAAGGCUCAUUCUACAAAAUAAAACCCUUACAUGGCAUUGCUAUAGGGGUCAAGAAUCUAUGGCUAGAUAGGCCAUAGGCCCUAGAGGGACCUGCUAACAUUAUUCUGCUAAUGAAACAUAUAUUAAACCAAAUUCUAUCAGUUUAUUGUUAUAUCCACGGACUAGUGCAUCUCUCAAGCCUCCUCAGAAGAAAUGCUUUUCACAACAGAAAGCAAUCACAGAGAUCCCACUAUAUGACUGGUUAGGGCAUAAAGAAUGAGGGACUACAAAAUGCAGAAUUUUAAAAGGCAUCUAUAUUGCAUCCCCUCCUCCUCCAAGGCUCUGGGAUCACUUUAGAAGUGGGGAAGAAAGACUGUAAGAGUCAGUGGUUGUGAAUGACUACAAAGAAAGUGUUUUUUGCUGGCACAGGUUGGAAGUUGAAUAGAUACAAAUACACUAUUUGUAGUUACAGUGUGUGCACGACCUGCACAAGUUCAACCUAGACUAAGUCCCAGAAUAAAGAAGGGUUGUGGUCAUCAAGACUCACCUCUAGCUCAAGAACUAUUGGCAAAUGACAGUUUCUGGGAGAGGGAGUUUUGUUGAAGGGUGUGGCCCUUGGUAGGCAGACCAUACUCAAACGGAAGGUCACACAUUCAAAAAUAGUGUGGGCAGUCAAAUUAGACUUGAUGGGUAUAAUAAUAAUAGUAAUAAUAAUAAUAAUAAUAAUAAUAAUAAUAAUAAAGUUGGGUGGUUAAGGAAGGGGGAAUAUAUCUUGGAGUAGCUGGGGAUGAGGUGAAUAUGAUCAAAAUACAUUGUAUGAUCUUGUCAAAGAACUAAAAUGAAUGAGAAAAUUAAUUAUUUAUUCUUUGAAAAUUUCAUAGAUUUGUACAAGGUAUUUUGACUAUAUCCACUCACCACUUCCUCCUUUCAACUUCCUCUAGUUCUCCCCACCCUAUCUCUUUCCUGUCUCUGUGUCCUCUUUUAUUUUUUAAUGUCAUUGAUAACCUCAUGAGUUCAAUUGAUAAUGCCCGUAGUCACACAGGAAGGACCAUCUCCUGGAUCGUAGGCAAAUAAAUCAUCAGUAGCCGUGUUCCAAAGUUGAGGAUGAAGGCCUGGAAGCAGAGUUGGUGGAAUGCACCCAGGUGGGGACACAGUGUGUAAGGAGAAUAGUGUGCCUUAGACAUAGCAGCCACCAAUGAGAGUCAUGAAAACUAAAGUGGAUAAAGCGAUUAAAUCCUAAGAGAGCCAGGUAACAUAUGAUAGGGAAGUUGCUCACAUAAUCUCAAUAAGAUGGUUGCCUAAACAGGCAUAAUGACAAUACCAGUUGAAACACCAACAGGGAUGGGAAAAAUUGCACACCAGGUCCUAUCCUUAGAUAGAAAAUCAGACCUCUAUAGGGAAAAGUACACUCAUGGGUUAUCCAAUCUGAAGUUGUCAGCCCUAAAUAGAUGUACAUAGGCACAAUACUAAAUAGACUCAGUGUGUUUAUGUAUGUAUGUGUUUUCUCUCUCUCUCUCUCUCUCUCUCUCUCUCUCUCUCUCUCUUUGUGUGUGUGUGUGUGUGUGUGUGUGUGUAUGUGUGUAAGAAUGGAAAUUAAAGAUGAGGUCAUGGAUUUGAGAGUGGAGACAUAGGAGGAGUUGGAGGGGUAAAUAGGGAGCAGGAAUGAUGUAAAUAUAGUGUUCAUAUAUGAAUUUUUUAAUUUUUAAAAACAUUAAAAAUUUAAAUCAAAUUAAAAAACCGAAGUCCCAAUUUUCCAAUGGUUUAAGAUAAUAAGCACUAAAUACUUCCCCAUCACAAAAUCAAACAACAAAAUCACUUUUCAUCACAAAGUGCUUUAGUCUAACUGACAUUUAUGGAGCCCGCAUUCACUCACUCCGUCAUGAUAUUUUUCUGUUGGCUUAUCAUUUACACAUGAAUCUACUGAUAUUUUCAUUAUCAUCUGCCCCCCAUAUCCUCUUAGUCAGCAUCCCACUGACCACUCAGUGUGGCAGUUCCUGGUGGGUUUAAAUUAAAUCUCCAUUCUUCUAUUUAUCAAUAAGACUCAGAGGUCAAAGGCUCUGGUGAAAACCGGCUAGCUCAGAAAGACUGAGUUGCUUUUUGGCCUGAGACACUACAAGAUACAUGUCUCUUCUCUGUCCCAGAACCAAGAGAGCCCAAAUUCUAGUCCCCACCCUUUCUGUCCUGUGCAUCUUCUCUAUCCAAAUCGCUGGCUUUUCUAUGGCCAGUUCUGGUCAGCUAGUCAUUGGCUCCACCCUCUGAUUCAGGGUAUCUCUUUUGGGCAGUCUCGGAAUGUCAGAGUGCAAUCAAUAUAUCUCACACUAACACAAGUUGCCCCCAUAUUGAGGAGGAAAUCAAAGCUACAGGUUCCAGCAGAAAGUAAGGGGUAAAAGAGAAGGUGCACCCCUUCCUUAGAGACUGGCUCUGUUAAUACCUACCUGGCAAACCUAGAUGCAGGUUCCAGCACAGGUAGGUGGGGGAUUAUAGGUCCCAGUGGGGUAGCUCCCCAAAUUAUGAGUGGGGAACAUAUGUUUAAAUUGCCCCCAGUUGCCUUAGCACCAGGUCCCUCAAAGAUGGUCUUAGUGUAAGGAGAAGGUAACAGGGCAUCUUAAGGUGAGCACAUGGGCCUCAGGUUUUGUGCAAGGGAAUCAUGUUACUAAGUAUAUUCACCUUAGAAAAAUAUGGCAGCAGUGGGAUAAUUCUGAAGGAUGAAAGCAACACAGUAAGAAAGAAAAAGCAACUGUGCCAACAGCAAGGCAAGAGCUGAAGAUGGGUGAAAGCAUGGAGGUGACAAGUUUGCAGACAGAGAUCAUAGGCAGGUUCAAAGGCAGGGAUGACUGGACCAGGGGACAGGAAGACAGGAAGAGCUUACAUAGACAACGGUGGUCUCCAUACCAAAAGGUGAUCAGCAUAUUGACUUCACCUGGGUGAGGCAUGUCCCCAGAGAGCUUUCCUCCUGACUCAUGGUUGCAGAGACAUGAGCCUAAGCCGGAAAGAAGGGGACAUAAGACAUUCGGCUCCGUUUGAUUUGGAUGGAGUCAGAAAAGCAACAUGGAACCUCUGACUUUCCAGGGAGAUUUUCCUGGAUAUGUCCCCAAACACAGUGUCCAUCCAGGCUCCAUUCACAUCUGCAGCAGCUGGACCUCAAGAGCCUGCUGGUGUGCUCUACACCCAUGCACUUGCCAGCAGUGGCCUGAGUUGCCAUCACAGCUGUUUUCACAGGUUUUGUUUGGGAACUCAGUGUGGGGCUUGGGAACAGCUGGGAGUUUCUGAGUAAUUGCAUACCCUGGGGGUGGAGGAAGGCCAAGUACAACAGCGUGUCCUCAGGACCCAUGACAGGGCAGUGUAGGAAAUCAGGUGAGAUGGCUCCUAAGAGUGGAGUUCCAGCCAUGGGGGUGGAGCUUGAAGCUCAGCCCAGAGGCAGAGACAGCAGUCCCUACAACACAAAGUAAGGCACCCCAGAGCCCUACCACACCCAAGGGUCACCUACUACUUCAAGGAAAUGUGGGUAUUUUAAAUGCAUAUUAGUAUCUCCCCUUUGCUAUGCUAGAACUACACAACUUGAAAGUCAAGUAGAAAGAAAAUGGAUGAUCUCCUUUGCUGUAAAAUGUGUUUUUGCUUUAAGAUUCAGAUCAAAUAUCAGCUUUGAAGCUUUCUUUAGCUUUCUUUGACCUUGUUCCUCUCUUCACUCCAGGAAGAUUGAUUGUCCGUUCUCUACAUCCAUGCCUAUUCUACCACCAGUGUAAAAUGUAAUCAUCUCCACUCAACUGGUCCAUGCUAAUUCAUUACUCACUGGGCUCUGGGGCCCUGAGGGUAUACUAGAGAGGAAAUGGGAGGCAGUCUUCUCUGUGGAUGUGAGGUAUCUCUGGCAGGGAUUAGACAUCUCACUCAGGUUGAUGGAAUCAAAUUUAAUCCACCCAAGGAUUUUGCACGCACAUUGGAAAUUUCCAAGAGAUAGGUCAAAAUAGCAAUCUACAAGCACAUUUGAAAACCUAACCUUUUAUUUGCUUUCCCAGGAGAAGGCCUUGGAAUACUUGACUCCGUUAGAUGUCAUUUGAAGUUGUCAGUAAGCCACUUCAUUGAAUGACAUGAUGUGUCCCUCCCCUAUCAUUAAAUUAUGAAUACACUCCACUGCCAAGCAAUGUGAGAUCUCAGGACUACAACAUGUUCCCCAAAAUAUAUCACUGUUAUCAAGGAGAAACCUUCUCUAAUACAAUAAAGAAAGGUAUGGUGCCAAAAAUAGUUUCAUUCUAGUAGAACCUUGUUCGUGGAGACCUGUUGCUCAAGGGGAUGUUAGCAUGCUCUAAAUCUCGAUUCUUCUCACUUCUGCAUCAAUAAAAUGCAAAUUCUCCUCUCAUCAUAAUUCUCAACUGUACCCAGAUUCCAAGAUCUUAUCCAUGACCCAACUUUGAAAAUCAGGUUUAGCACAACUUAUUCCCUGGCUUAGACCCUCUGUGAUCCUCUUAUUUUUAAAUCAGGAAUAAAAAAAGACAGCUUUUUGUGACCAGACAGCCAAGAAUCCCAGGUGGGAUUCGCUCCAAGAAGAGCACAUGCAUCUGUCAAGAUCCUGAAAAAUGGUUCCUCUUCAAAUCCUAAUUUUUUUCUUUAAGAGAAAAUAUAUAGAAACCACAAACAUAUUUGUAUCGUUGCCAUCCCAUGCCUUCAUUCUUGGAGGAAGUGUUGGAUUUUCUUGUUCUUUGGCUCUUUGGCUCAGAAAGCAAGGAGUGACAUCAGCGAGCUGAAACUACAAGUUCUACCACCCUUUCCGUGUUAAACUACGAUGUUUACUUCUCCGAGGGUUGGCCAAGAAAGUCCAUUUGGGCUGGAACGCCACAUAUUUAGUCUCAGAAUUAAGGUAAUUUCUUUGGAAAAGUUUCAACCAAAUCAAUUUAUUUCAGAGAUGUUGGUGUUGGGUCCCUUUUAAAAAAUUCCACAGCCCCAGGCUUGUUCACAGUACCUGCUCUGCUAACGCAAUUCCAAGCUGGCUGUCAUACUCAAAGCGGUACACUCUGGGUAUAUGGGACUCUGCAAUGUGGGUGUUGGGUGCCCAAGAAAAACGCUGUGGUUUUAUAGGGUGAAUGUAGCUGCAUGAGCUCACUGGAGACUAAAGAUCCGUGGGACUGAGGGGUUUGGACAAGAACCACUCCUGCUAUCUAUAACAUUUUUUCCAUAAUAAAACACACUCACACAGAUUCUUUCACUUGUUCCAUAAGAGUAUUUUGUGACACAGACAGAGUAGAUAUCAUUCUACCUAUUUUCAUAAAGAAAUACAAGGGUUAGGUGUUGGUAACUCCAUGGGCAAGGCUUCAUAGUUAGGAGUAGCAGACCUGCAAUGUGUCUGCCUCAUGGUUCAGCUCCUUUUUUCAAAGCUGCCUUCUCUAACUAAUCAGAAAGAACUAGGAGUGAAAUGGAACUGUAAAGUGUCUGCCCUUGAGGAUGCAUCAAUGAGAACAUAAUAAACAGAUGUCAAGUAUCCCUUGAAGACUACCCAGAAAGCUCUUGUCCAAACUGUUUCUUCUACUCACUCACUGCUGAUGCCUGAAAUCCCACCACUAACCAUAUGCUUCUUCAGGAAGGAUGCUAGAUGCCUGGUGAAGAUAAUCAACAUGGUUUUCUCCUCAAAUGCCCCAUUUGCAGCAUGAAUUGGUUAAUCUUCCAUCAGAGUACAGAUGGAGUCCACUUCCCAUUACUGUGCAUCUGGAUAGGUUUCAUGAUUGACUUUGUCCAAUAGAAUGCAUCAGAGGUGACUUUGGUGACUUCUGAGACUAGGUCUGAAGAGGUAUUACUGUUUCCUCCACUUUGGAUGCUACACUGAGUCUGCUGCAUAAGAAAUCUGGUCCAAACUACUAGAAGAUGAAAGGGCAUAUGGAAGACAACAAGGGCCCUCCAACCAAGAGCCAACAUCAGCUUCUGAAGCAGUGAGUAAGGCCAUCCUGGGUCUUUCCAUCCCUGUUGCUUCUCCAGCUGAAAGCAGUGACAUGAUCAAGUCCAAGGAAAGCAAAGGAGAGGCUGUUGAGCCAACCCACAGAAUUUUGAGAAAUAACAUUAUUUUUAAGCAGAGCCUAACUGAGCAAGGAAAGCAGACAAGAUUACUUCUAAGAUGCUGUCUACUCAUGAUUCCAAAGCCUCUGUGUAAUGCUAUUGUAAAAAUAUUUUACUAUAGUGAUAGCAAAAUAGAGCAAUAUUCAGAGAAGCAUCUACCAUUGAUUUUGCAAAGAAACUACAUACAGAGGAGAAGCGAGUCACCCAAGUUUGUCAUGAAGUGUUAUAUUGUAGAGCUGAGGAUGUGGUUUUGUUGAUAGGAAUGGCUUUUCUAGCAUUCACAAAGCCAUGGGUUCAAUUCCCAGACUGUAUAUAACUGACCAUGGUGGUAUGAUGGUGCAUGUUUAUAAUCCCAGCACUCAGAGGUGGAGUCAAGAAGACUGACAGUUCAAGUCAUUUUCCACUAUAUGACUAAUUUAAGUCCAGUCUAUGCUGCCUAAGACCUUCUCUCCAACAAAUUAAACUUAAAAUGGUAGAUUUUACAGCAUAGAACCUGACAGAGAGGAACACAAAUCCUGGCCCAUGAUCCAUACCUUCUUAACAGUUUCUCCACACACCUAAAAGAAUGGGUUGGACUGUUUCAUGAAUAGAGAUGCACUCCAUUGUGAAGUUAGCCAGGUCUACACAGAGAAAGGCCCCAAGAAACAGCCCAUUCUAGUGGACUACCCUUCCUAUUGAAUGACACUGACUCUUUCAUGCUUGUUUGGGACCAUGUUCAAAUGUGCAGACUUCAGCUGAAAUCAAGAGAGACUGAAACAGUCAGCCACACUUCAAAUAUUUAUUUUGUAUUCUAACAAUCAAUUUCUCAUCUCUCCUCCCAAUCUUUUUCCACCUGUUUGCAGAAAUAAUUACUAGUGCCCAAUUAUGAGCUCUCUGCCACUUUUCUCUCUGCAUUUCUGAAAGCACUCAGGAAAACUCUUCUCCUGAAGCGUAAGCCAUUACUAACAUAUCGUGGCGUCUGGCGUUGAUGUAGAGCCAAACUGGGAACUUCUGGGUUGGUCUUGGAUUGAGCUGAGGGGAGUUAAAUGUUUGGGGCAGGGGUGGAGUGGGGCUCCAACAAAAUGGCAAAAGUUAACUUCAAAAUGAAUGUCAGAAGAAAGAAUUAGAAGAGACAAUUAAAUAAACACCUGAGUGGAAAUUCCAGGGCUGGUGCCAUCGGCAGAGCAUGCAACACCCAUUUUAGACACAUUCUAAAGACAGUUUCAAUAAGGCAUCUGAGAAGGUGAAUCGAAUAAAUUCCAAAUCUUCAGAACAGGGUGGUUGCUAUGUGGCUUCCUAUGAGUGGACUAUUAAAUGAACUUUAAGGGGAAAAAAAUAAAACCUAGCAGUUUCUCCUGUCAUCGCCCAAUGAAAAAGAAGAGGAAAAGAAUCAGUUAGCCAGCAGAAUGACAUUCAGAUGUUGAAAGGGUGAAACCUGAGCAACACUUCGAAACCUUUGCUAGAAAACAAGAAGCUAGUGUUGAAAGUGAAGACACAAAGGCAAGCACUCUCCGAGGUUUAGCACACAGGCUGUGCCCACACUCUGAUUGGCAUGGACAAUUUGCCUAAGAAAACACAGCGGCCAGAUUCCAGCUAGCACCUUCUCACCUCCAUUUAUAACUGUAAGUGGCAAGGGUGAAGUUGAAAGGGAGAUGAUGGCCAGAACCUUCUCACAUACCUGCUGCUGCCAGCAUAUCUAGAACCAAUGGUUACCUAAGCCUCUCAUUUCAUUCCAACAUGUCUCAACCUACAAAGCAGGUCACACCCACAGAACUGUAGAAGAUUCACUAGCAUACUAGAAUGUCUUUGGUGUCUAGCAUACGUCAAAGACAAUGCAAGUGCUAAGAACAAAAGCCGGCAUCCACCAUCUAUCUAAGACCCAAUCAAUAUUGAUGACUAAGAGUGUUUAGUUUGGAAUAAAUAGCAUGUACAACUGUAGAUGAGACCCAGAUGAUGGAGAGAGCAUUGCAACUAAAAAUGAGAAGACAUGACAAGUUUAGUGAUCUAAUGAUUCCUUAAAAAAAAUUAAGUAUCACUUAAACUCUGGGAAGUCAGUCUCCUGACCCCGAAGCAAGAUAGCUCUACUGCAUGAUGCCUCCAAAGCCCCCUGAAGGUUUGCUGAAGAAAAGGUUGAGCAUCACCCCCUUUUUUGAGCAUCUCUUCUAAUCUACCGCAACUGCUGUAGUCUUCAUCCAAACCACAGUAGAGUUUAGAUAAAAUGAAUUGAACUCUGUCUGACUUUGGGACAAACUGGAUAUGGCUAAGUGUUUGCUAUAUGUUAGCAGAAAUAAAUUCAUUGAAACAAUUCUUGUUCAAGAGGUCAGAAGAUGGGAGGAUAUAGUGAUGCUCUGAUAUCACACAUGCACUCAAGGUUAAAAUAAGAAUCUACCAUAAUUUCUCAGCUUCUUCAUAAUGUGCUCCAUGCCUUUCUCCAAAGUUUUAUCCUGAAAUUAUUAUCCUAAAUUAUUAUCUUAAAAAUCACAUAUUACCUUUUAAUUUUCAUGGAAGAGUAAUCAAAAUAAUCAGUAUAAUUUUGUAGUGUAUUUAAGUAUAGAAAAAUUAAAUGUUAGCUUUUCAUUCAUCUGACAUAAGUGGUGUCCACUGAAAUGUGACUUGAUUUUACUAACUGGAACAUAAAAGUUGUAAGCAUGAAUGGUAUUAAAGCAAACAUCUCACCAACAUUCGACCCUUGGCUCCCUGGGAAAAGAGGUAAUUGGACUCCUCUAGAAAACUCUGGUACAGCAAAUAAAUGUUAUUUAGAACUA